rnacentral:rRNA from 1 species
GUUCAGAUUGCAGGCUGCAACUCGCCUGCAUGAAGUCGGAAUUGCUAGUAAUCGUAGGUCAGCAUACUACGGUGAAUACGUUCCCGGGCCUUGUACACACCGCCCGUCAAACCAUGAGAGUUGGCAACACCCGAAGUCGGUAGUCUAACCGCAAGGAGGACGCCGCCGAAGGUGGGGUUGAUGAUUAGGGUUAAGUCGUAACAAGGUAUC